rnacentral:rRNA from 1 species
AUGGCGGCGGGUCCCUUCGCGCUCCGCCUAGGGCCGCGCCUCGCGGCGCCGACGGUGGCGAGUGCGACGAGGGGAGGAGGACGAGGAAGUGGUCGCCCUACGGCGAGCCGAGCGCUGGUGUCAAAGAAGCCAAACAAGGACCACCGUUUGUGGAUUAGGAAGGAUUCGGCUGGGUCAGGGAAGAAGGCUCUUUGUCUUGUUAAUACUGUUUCAAAACUACCGAAUGAAAAAGAAGCUGUUUAUGGUGCAUUGGAUAGGUGGACCGCUUUUGAGUCUGAAUUUCCAAUUAUAGCAGCGGCUAAAGCUUUGGAGAUGUUGAAAAAGCGAAGAAAAUGGCUACAGAUUAUCCAGGUAACCAAGUGGCUGAUGAGUAAAGGUCAGGUGCUGACAUGGACAACGUACGAUACACUGCUGUUGGCUCUUUCUAUGGAUGGAAGAGUAGAUGAGGCUGAGUCAAUUUGGAAUACUAUCUUAGAAACUUAUACACGCUCAGUGCCCAAGAAGUUGUUCUCUCGGAUGAUCCAGAUUUACAACACGCGCCAUCUUCCAGACAAAGUUUUGGAGAUAUAUGCUGACAUGGAGGAAUUGGGCGUGCGUCCAGACGAGGAUACAACAAGAAGAGUCGGACGAGCAUUUGCGUCUUCAGGCCAGGAAGAUAAGCAGAAGCCUGUCCUUGAAAAAUACUUGAAGAAGUGGAAGUACAUCCAUUUCAACGGCGAGCGCGUUCGGGUGCGGAGGGCAGGACCUUUGGCCUAG